GGCAGAGCAGCAGGAGGAGGAAGAGGAGGAGGAAGAGGAGGAGGAAGGAGGGGGCUCACUGCUGCACUUCCAGUUUCAUUAACCCUUUCACUCUCGGCUUUGUUGACAGAUGGAGAGAAGGUCAAUAUCUUUGACCCAUUUGAUGACCCGAUGAGAGGUCCACACCAACGGAUCCACGUUCUGGUGCUCACACUGUACCCGGCGAGCCUGCAGUGCCUGGAAACCAUUUUAACAAACACCUUUUACUCAGCCGAUAGGAGCUAUUUUCACCUGCUGCUGCAGCAUACCCAGGAGGUGGAAUUCCCGAGCAAAAGCAGCAUUCAAGCCAAACUAGCCGGCGAAAGAAGACAAGAAACAUCCCUCAUUGGCCAAGAGAAACAGGAAACCUCCCAG